GAUGAAGAACGUAGCGAAAUGCGAUACUUGGUGUGAAUUGCAGAAUCCCGUGAACCAUCGAGUCUUUGAACGCAAGUUGCGCCCGAAGCCAUUAGGCCGAGGGCACGCCUGCUUGGGCGUUACACGUCGUUGCCCCCCCAUCUACUCCUUCGGGAUUGCGGGGGGCGGAUGAUGGCUUCCCGUGCGCCUCGUCGCGCGGUUGGCAUAAAUGCCAAGUCCUCGGCGACGCACGCCACGACAAUCGGUGGUUGCGAAACCUCGGUUGCCCGUCGUGUGCGGUCGUCGCGCAUCGAGGGCUCGAAAAAAUUGCCGGGCUCCGGCUCGGCUUUCAACGCGACCCCAGGUCAGGCGGGGUUACCCGCUGAAUUUAAGCAUAUCAAUAAGCGGAGGA
rnacentral:misc_RNA from 1 species